ACAUCCUUUUCAGUCUUUACUUUUUUACGCUUAAUAUUUUCCAAUUCCUUUUGUUUCCUCUCUCACUCACUCUUUUCUAUUGCCAAACCCUAGCCGCCGCCGUGCAUUCCCUCCUUCUCCUCCGUUUUCUCAACUCUUUCUCCACCAUCCCAUCCAUCCACUGUCGUCAAACUCAAAAAGUAAGAUAUAAAACUGCUCAUGGUUGAGGAACAAAGAUGCUGAUCGACAGAUUUCUCUUCAGAUCUACAUGGUAUAUAAAUUUUUUCAAAUCUGUCCUUGUUGGAUCCAUAGAUCUGUGAAGUUGUAUAUUGAGAUAGGAAACUCUAAGGAUUGGAGGUUUGAAUGAAGAAAAAAAAUGAUCGACAAGUCAUGUUGGCAUUGGAAUAAUUCCUUCAAGUGUUUAUGGAUUUUAAGUGUUGUAAUAUUUUUUGAUAGUGUUUUGUUGAAUAUAUAAUGUUAUUGAAUGUAUUUUA